rnacentral:rRNA from 1 species
UUGACCUACGGGACGCAGCAGUGAGGAAUAUUGGUCAAUGGGAGAGAUCCUGAACCAGCCAAGCCGCGUGAGGGAAGACGGCCCUAUGGAUUGUAAACCUCUUUUGUCGGGGAGCAAAAGACGCCACGCGUGGCGUUCCGAGAGUACCCGAAGAAAAAGCAUCGGCUAACUCCGUGCCAGCAGCCGCGGUAAUACGGAGGAUGCGAGCGUUAUCCGGAUUUAUUGGGUUUAAAGGGUGCGCAGGCGGAAGAUCAAGUCAGCGGUAAAAUUGAGAGGCUCAACCUCUUCGAGCCGUUGAAACUGGU